GCAUAAAAUGCCACCUAGGAUGCUACAUUGGGGAAACCACCCAGCCAUUAAAUGGCAGAAUGAACAUGCACAGACACUCUAUUAAACACCACAAAGAAGAAUCAUACUGCACUCCUGUGGGACACCACUUUACCCAGCCUGGCCACUCACUGAAAGACCUAAAAAUCAAAGUACUGAAAGGGAGUUUUAAAAAUACCCAGGAAAGAAAAGCCUUUGAAGCCAGAAUGAUUAAAUGGUUUAACAGCAAGAAGAGAGGACUAAAUAUUGAUUUGGGAUUCCUGUCCCACUACCAACACUUUACAUGAACACUCUCCCAGUGUUCAUGUGUACCAACACUUUAAAAUGCAU